GAUCCUGGCUCAGGAUGAACGCUGGCGGCGUGCUUAACACAUGCAAGUCGAACGAAGCACCUUGAUUUGAUUCUUCGGAUGAAGAUCCUGGUGACUGAGUGGCGGACGGGUGAGUAACGCGUGGGUAACCUGCCUCAUACAGGGGGAUAACAGUUAGAAAUGACUGCUAAUACCGCAUAAGACCACAGCACCGCAUGGUGCAGGGGUAAAAACUACGGUGGUAUGAGAUGGACCCG
rnacentral:rRNA from 1 species